GUCUCUUUGAAGCUGUAAAGAGUCUGGCCUGCCCACUGAAUUAUUAAAGGGCCGCGGUAUUUCUGACCGUGCGAAGGUAGCAUAAUCAUUAGUCUUUUAAUUGAAGGCUUGUAUGAAAGGUUGGACGAGAGAGAAGCUGUCUCAGUUAAAAACUUGAAGUUAACUUUUAGGUGAAAAGGCCUAAAUAGCUUGAAAAGACGAUAAGACCCUAUAAAUCUUAAUACUAAUUUGGCUAGUCCUUUGAUUUGUUUGUAAAAAAAGUAUUAGUUUACUGGUAUUCUGUUGGGGCGACAAAAAUAUAAUAUGUUUACCUGUUUUAAACUAAAUACAAUUAUUUUUGAUUGGUAUAAAGAUCCUUCUUAGAGAUUAAGAGAUUAAGUUACUUUAGGGAUAACAGCGUUAUUUUUCUUGAGAGUUCCUAUCGAAAGAAGAGUUUGCGACCUCGAUGUUGAAUUAAAAUUUCUUUGUGGUGCAGCCGCUACAAAAGAAAGUCUGUUCGACUUUUAAAUUUUUACA
rnacentral:rRNA from 1 species